rnacentral:rRNA from 1 species
UCAGCGGCAGACGGGUGAGUAACACGUGGGAACGUACCCUUCGGUUCGGAAUAACGCUGGGAAACUAGCGCUAAUACCGGAUACGCCCUUAUGGGGAAAGGUUUACUGCCGAAGGAUCGGCCCGCGUCUGAUUAGCUAGUUGGUGGGGUAACGGCCUACCAAGGCGACGAUCAGUAGCUGGUCUGAGAGGAUGAUCAGCCACACUGGGACUGAGACACGGCCCAGACUCCUACGGGAGGCAGCAGUGGGGAAUAUUGGACAAUGGGCGCAAGCCUGAUCCAGCCAUGCCGCGUGAGUGAUGAAGGCCUUAGGGUUGUAAAGCUCUUUUGUCCGGGACGAUAAUGACGGUACCGGAAGAAUAAGCCCCGGCUAACUUCGUGCCAGCAGCCGCGGUAAUACGAAGGGGGCUAGCGUUGCUCGGAAUCACUGGGCGUAAAGGGCGCGUAGGCGGCCAUUCAAGUCGGGGGUGAAAGCCUGUGGCUCAACCACAGAAUUGCCUUCGAUACUGUUUGGCUUGAGUAUGGUAGAGGUUGGUGGAACUGCGAGUGUAGAGGUGAAAUUCGUAGAU